GACGAACGCUGGCGGCGUGCCUAAUACAUGCAAGUAGAACGCACAGUUUAUACCGUAGCUUGCUACACCAUAGACUGUGAGUUGCGAACGUGUGAGUAACGCGUAGGUAACCUGCCUGGUAGCGGGGGAUAACUAUUGGAAACGAUAGCUAAUACCGCAUAAUAUUAAUUAUUGCAUGAUAAUUAAUUGAAAGGUGCAAUUGCACCACUACCAGAUGGACCUGCGUUGUAUUAGCUAGUAGGUGAGGUAACGGCUCACCUAGGCGACGAUACAUAGCCGACCUGAGAGGGUGAUCGGCCACACUGGGACUGAGACACGGCCCAGACUCCUACGGGAGGCAGCAGUAGGGAAUCUUCGGCAAUGGACGAAAGUCUGAACGAGCAACGCCGCGUGAGUGAAGAAGGUUGUCGGAUCGUAAAGCUCUGUUGUAAGAGAAGAACGGGUGUGAGAGUGGAAAGUUCACACUGUGACGGUAUCUUACCAGAAAGGGACGGCUAACUACGUG
rnacentral:rRNA from 1 species